CCAACGUGAAACGUCGGGUAGACUAAGGGAUAUUAAGUCGUUUAUCAAUUUUGUUAUCGCACUCUCAAGGGCAUACUCGAACCAACUCAUAUUCAAUCGACGCUUCUUUGAAAUGCUUUCUAAAAUCCAGUAAUGCAUGAAACGACGACUGAAUGAUUAGCUCGCUGAUCAGGAGUUAUCACAUUCGCAGCACAAAGUGGCACCGAUCGCAACUGAAGCAAAAGUGAAGACCUGUUAUCACAAAUCCUCAUGGAACAUUAGGACCAGCAUAGAGGCCGUGUUGAAUCCGGGGGCGAAAAAUUAUGAAAAUAGAGAGUAUCUUACUUCCAGUAUGAUUUGACUAAUGCGACUCCAGACUGGUUUUCUAAAAGAGUGGAUGUAUACUUGCAUGCACCUUUCUUGAAUAGAUG